AGUGGCGCACGGGUGAGUAACGCGUGGGUAAUCUACCCUCGACUCGGGGAUAACAUUGCGAAAGCGAUGCUAAUACCGGAUAACAUCAUGAAAAUUUCGGUUUUUAUGACCAAAGGUGGCCUCUACAUGUAAGCUUCCGAUUGAGGAUGAGCCCGCGUACCAUUAGCUUGUUGGUGGGGUAACGGCCUACCAAGGCUGCGAUGGUUAGCUGGUCUGAGAGGAUGAUCAGCCACACUGGAACUGACACACGGUCCAGACUCCUACGGGAGGCAGCAGUGAGGAAUUUUGCGCAAUGGGGGAAACCCUGACGCAGCAACGCCGCGUGAGUGAUGAAGGCUUUCGGGUCGUAAAGCUCUGUCGAGUGGGAAGAAAAACCAGAAACUAAUAAUAUCUGGGACUGACGGUACCACUGAAGGAAGCACCGGCUAACUCCGUGCCAGCAGCCGCGGUAAUACGGGGGGUGCAAGCGUUAUUCGGAAUCAUUGGGCGUAAAGAGCGCGUAGGCGGCCCUAUAAGUCAGAUGUGAAAGCCCGGGGCUUAACCCCGGAAGUGCAUUUGAAACUAUUGGGCUUGAGUAUGGGAGAGGGAAG
rnacentral:rRNA from 1 species